UAGCCUUAAACGAAUAAGUAAGGAAAACAAAGUGGCUUGGGGGAUCUGGCCUCAGCGCUACUCAAUGUAAUGUGCAUGAAUUUGUGGAGGGGAUAGAGACUGGCCAAUUGUUGACGUUGCUUACUUCUCCAAGAGUAGGAGGUUAAUGGUUCUCUUU